CCUACGGGAGGCAGCAGUGAGGAAUAUUGGUCAAUGGGCGGGAGCCUGAACCAGCCAAGCCGCGUGAGGGAAUAAUGUACAGCGUAUCGUAAACCUCUUUUGUCAGGGAACAAAAGCGGGGACUAGUCCCCGGAUGAGGGUACCUGAGGAAAAAGCAUCGGCUAACUCCGUGCCAGCAGCCGCGGUAAUACGGAGGAUGCGAGCGUUAUCCGGAUUUAUUGGGUUUAAAGGGGGCGCAGGGGGCCUUUUAAGUCAGCGUUAAAAGCCCGGGGCUCAACCCCGCCGAGCCGUUGAGACUGGGGGGCUGGAGUGGGAGAGAGGUACGCGGAAUGCGCGGUGUAGCGGUGAAAUGCUUAGAUAUCGCGCAGAACCCCGAUUGCGAAGGCAGCGUACCGGCUCCACACUGACGCUGAGGCACGAAAGCGUGGGUAUCGAACAGGAUUAGAUACCCUUGUAGUC
rnacentral:rRNA from 1 species